GGCGCUGAUUUUUUUCUUUGGUUAUCUAGCUGUAUGGAUAUUUUGAACUUCAUAAAGCUACAUUACCGAAGGUAAUAACAGCGCA